rnacentral:rRNA from 1 species
UGCAUCGGAACGCGUCCUGUAAUGGGGGAUAACCUAGCGAAAGUUAGGCUAAUACCGCAUACGUCCUGAGGGAGAAAGCGGGGGCUCGCAAGACCUCGUGUUAUAGGAGCGGCCGAUGUCGGAUUAGCUAGUUGGUGGGGUAAAGGCCUACCAAGGCGACGAUCCGUAGCGGGUCUGAGAGGACGGCCCGCCACACUGGGACUGAGACACGGCCCAGACUCCUACGGGAGGCAGCAGUGGGGAAUUUUGGACAAUGGGGGCAACCCUGAUCCAGCCAUGCCGCGUGAGUGAAGAAGGCCUUCGGGUUGUAAAGCUCUUUCGGCCGGGAAGAAAUCGCGCCAGCUAAUAUCUGGUGUGGAUGACGGUACCGGAAGAAGAAGCACCGGCUAACUACGUG